rnacentral:rRNA from 1 species
UACGUAGGGGCUAGCGUUAUCCGGAAUUACUGGGCGUAAAGGGUGCGUAGGUGGUUUCUUAAGUCAGAGGUGAAAGGCUACGGCUCAACCGUAGUAAGCCUUUGAAACUGGGAAACUUGAGUGCAGGAGAGGAGAGUGGAAUUCCUAGUGUAGCGGUGAAAUGCGUAGAUAUUAGGAGGAACACCAGUUGCGAAGGCGGCUCUCUGGACUGUAACUGACACUGAGGCACGAAAGCGUGGGGAGCAAACAGGAUUAGAUACACGCGUAGUCCCUGA